rnacentral:rRNA from 1 species
AUGAACGCCGGCGGUGUGCCUAAUACAUGCAAGUCGAGCGCACUGGCCCAACAGAAAUGACGUGCUUGCACUGAUUUGACGUUGGAUUCCCAGUGAGCGGCGGACGGGUGAGUAACACGUGGGCAACCUGCCCCAAAGCGGGGGAUAACAUUUGGAAACAGGUGCUAAUACCGCAUAACUUGGAAAACCACAUGGUUUUCCAAUAAAAGAUGGUUUCGGCUAUCACUUUGGGAUGGGCCCGCGGUGCAUUAGCUAGUUGGUAAGGUAACGGCUUACCAAGGCGAUGAUGCAUAGCCGAGUUGAGAGACUGAUCGGCCACAAUGGAACUGAGACACGGUCCAUACUCCUACGGGAGGCAGCAGUAGGGAAUCUUCCACAAUGGGCGCAAGCCUGAUGGAGCAACACCGCGUGAGUGAAGAAGGGUUUCGGCUCGUAAAACUCUGUUGUUGGAGAAGAACGUGCGUAAGAGUAACUGUUUACGCAGUGACGGUAUCCAACCAGAAAGUCACGGCUAACU